rnacentral:rRNA from 1 species
GUGCUUGCACCACCUGAUUAGUGGCGAACGGGUGAGUAACACGUGAGUAACCUGCCCUCCACUUCGGGAUAACCUCGGGAAAUCGUGGCUAAUACCGGAUACGAGCACUCAUCGCAUGGUGGGUGCUGGAAAGAUUUAUCGGUGGGGGAUGGACUCGCGGCCUAUCAGUUUGUUGGUGAGGUGAUGGCUCACCAAGACGAUGACGGGUAGCCGGCCUGAGAGGGCGACCGGCCACACUGGGACUGAGACACGGCCCAGACUCCUACGGGAGGCAGCAGUGGGGAAUAUUGCACAAUGGGCGAAAGCCUGAUGCAGCGACGCCGCGUGGGGGAUGACGGCCUUCGGGUUGUAAACCCCUUUCAGUAGGGAAGAAGCGAGAGUGACGGUACCUGCAGAAGAAGCGCCGGCUAACUACGUGCCAGCAGCCGCGGUAAUACGUAGGGCGCAAGCGUUGUCCGGAAUUAUUGGGCGUAAAGAGCUUGUAGGUGGCUUGUCGCGUCUGCCGUGAAAACCCGAGGCUCAACCUCGGGCGUGCGGUGGGUACGGGCAGGCUAGAGUGUGGUAGGGGAGACUGGAACUCCUGGUGUAGCGGUGAAAUGCGCAGAUAUCAGGAAGAACACCGAUGGCGAAGGCAGGUCUCUGGGCCAUUACUGACACUGAGAAGCGAAAGCAUGGGUAGCGAACAGGAUUAGAUACCCUGGUAGUCCAUGCCGUAAACGUUGGGCACUAG